rnacentral:rRNA from 1 species
GGUCAAGCUACAAAGGGCGCAUGGUGAAUGCCUUGGCAUCAGGAGCCGAUGAAGGACGUGAUAAGCUGCGAUAAGCUUCGGGUAGGCGCACAUAGCCAGAGAUCCGGAGAUUUCCGAAUGGGGAAACCCGCAUGAGAAACCUCAUGCAUCGUAAAGUGAAUACAUAGCUUUAUGAAGGAACACCUAGGGAACUGAAACAUCUAAGUACCUAGAGGAAGAGAAAGAAAAAUCGAUUUUCUUAGUAGCGGCGAGCGAAAAGGAAAGAGCCCAAACCAGAGAUUUAUCUCUGGGGUUGCGGACAGAACAUAACGUGAAAUUAUGAUUAACCGAACACAACUGGAAAGUUGGACCGUAGGAGGUAAUAGUCCUGUAAGUAAAAGUCAUAAUGAUCAGUUCUGCACCAGAGUACCACGAGACACGUGAAACCUUGUGGGAAGCAGGGAGGACCACCUCCCAAGGCUAAAUACUACCUGAUGACCGAUAGUGAAGCAGUACCGUGAGGGAAAGGUGAAAAGAACCCCGGGAGGGGAGUGAAAUAGAACCUGAAACCAUGUGCCUACAACCGAUCAAAGCACCUUAUGUGUGUGAUGAUGUGCUUUUUGUAGAACGAGCCAACGAGUUACGGUAUGUAGCGAGGUUAAGUACUUAAGGUACGGAGCCGAAGGGAAACCGAGUCUUAAUAGGGCGACUAGUUGCAUGCUGUAGACCCGAAACCGGGUGACCUAUCCAUGGCCAGGUUGAAGCGAGGGUAAAACCUCGUGGAGGACCGAACCACGUUGCUGUUGAAAAAGCAUGGGAUGAGCUGUGGAUAGCGGAGAAAUUCCAAUCGAACUCGGAUAUAGCUGGUUCUCCUCGAAAUAGCUUUAGGGCUAGCGUCGUGAAAUGUGAGUACUGGAGGUAGAGCACUGAAUAGGCUAGGGGGCAUAGCGCUUACCGAACCUUAUCAAACUCCGAAUGCCAGAUACUAUCAGCACGGCAGUCAGACUAUGAAAGAUAAGUUCCAUGGUCAAAAGGGAAACAGCCCAGAUCGUCAGCUAAGGUCCCAAAGUGUAAGUUAAGUGGAAAAGGAUGUGGGAUUUCUAAGACAACUAGGAUGUUGGCUUAGAAGCAGCCACUCAUUAAAAGAGUGCGUAAUAGCUCACUAGUCAAGAGAUCCUGCGCCGAAAAUGUCCGGGGCUCAAACUUACCACCGAAGCUACGGGUUCAUACUUUGUAUGAGCGGUAGAGGAGCGUCGUAAUCGGGCUGAAGUCGUACCGUAAGGAGCGGUGGACUGAUUACGAGUGAGAAUGUUGGCAUUAGUAGCGAGAUGUAGGUGAGAAUCCUACAGGCCGAAUAUCUAAGGUUUCCUGAGUAAAGUUUGUCUUCUCAGGGUUAGUCGGGACCUAAGGCGAGGCCGAGAGGCGUAGUCGAUGGACAAUUGGUUGAUAUUCCAAUACCACUAUAAUCGUUAUUAUCGAUGGUGUGACGGAGAAGGAUAGGAUGUGCCAGCUAUUGGAUGCUGGUCUAAGCGUUGAGGGAGUUAGAACAGGCAAAUCCGUUCUAACAAUCCUAGGGCGUGAUGGGGAAGGUUCCACGGAACCGAAGUAUCUGAUUUCAUGCUUCCAAGAAAAGCAUCUAGAAAGAGAAGUAGUGCCCGUACCGCAAACCGACACAGGUAGAUGAGGAGAGAAUCCUAAGGCCGACGGAAGAAUCACAGUUAAGGAACUAGGCAAAUUGACCCCGUAACUUCGGGAGAAGGGGUGCCUACCAUCUGGNNNNNNNNNNNNNNNNNNNNNNNNNNNNNNNNNNNNNNNNNNNNNNNNNNNNNNNNNNNNNNNNNNNNNNNNNNNNNNNNNNNNNNNNNNNNCAUCUGGUAGGCCGCAGAGAAUAGGCACAAGCAACUGUUUAACAAAAACACAGGUCUCUGCUAAAGCGUAAGCUGAUGUAUAGGGGCUGACGCCUGCCCGGUGCUGGAAGGUUAAGGGGAACACUUAGCGCAAGCGAAGGUGUGAACUUAAGCCCCAGUAAACGGCGGCCGUAACUAUAACGGUCCUAAGGUAGCGAAAUUCCUUGUCAGGUAAGUUCUGACCCGCACGAAUGGCGUAAUGACUUGUGCACUGUCUCAACUGUGAAUCCGGCGAAGUUGUAGUGCGAGUGAAGAUGCUCGCUACCCGCGAUUGGACGGAAAGACCCCGUAGAGCUUUACUGUAGCUUAGCAUUGAAUUUCGGUAUUGUCUGUACAGGAUAGGUGGGAGACUGGGAAAUUAGGGCGUCAGCCUUAAUGGAGUCGUUGUUGGGAUACCACCCUGAUAGUAUUGAAGUUCUAACUGGAUGCCAUGAAACUGGUGACAGGACAUUGUUAGGUGGGCAGUUUGACUGGGGCGGUCGCCUCCUAAAAUGUAACGGAGGCGCCCAAAGGUUCCCUCAGAACGGUCGGAAAUCGUUCGUAGAGUGUAAAGGCAUAAGGGAGCCUGACUGCGAGACCUACAAGUCGAGCAGGGACGAAAGUCGGGCUUAGUGAUCCGGUGGUACCUCGUGGGAGGGCCAUCGCUCAACGGAUAAAAGCUACCUCGGGGAUAACAGGCUGAUCUCCCCCAAGAGUUCACAUCGACGGGGAGGUUUGGCACCUCGAUGUCGGCUCGUCGCAUCCUGGGGCUGAAGUAGGUCCCAAGGGUUGGGCUGUUCGCCCAUUAAAGCGGCACGCGAGCUGGGUUCAGAACGUCGUGAGACAGUUCGGUCCCUAUCCGUCGCGGGCGUAGGAAAUUUGAGAGGAGCUGUCCUUAGUACGAGAGGACCGGGAUGGACUGACCUAUGGUGUACCAGUUGUUUCGCCAGAAGCAUAGCUGGGUAGCUAAGUCGGGAAGGGAUAAACGCUGAAAGCAUCUAAGUGUGAAGCCCACCUCAAGAUGAGAUUUCCCAUAGCAUAAGCUAGUAAGACCCCUUGAAGACUACAAGGUUGAUAGGUCAGAGGUGUAAGUGCGGUAACGUAUUUAGCUGACUGAUACUAAUAGGUCGA